rnacentral:rRNA from 1 species
AUACGGAGGGUGCAAGCGUUACUCGGAAUCACUGGGCGUAAAGCGCGCGCAGGCGGCUAUUUAAGUUGGAUGUGAAAGCCUACGGCUCAACCGUAGAACUGCAUCCAAAACUAUUUAGCUAGAGUGUGGGAGAGGAAGAUGGAAUUAGUUGUGUAGGGGUAAAAUCCGUAGAGAUAACUAGGAAUACCAAAAGCGAAGGCAAUCUUCUGGAACACUACUGACGCUGAGGCGCGAAAGCGUGGGGAGCAAACGGAAUUAGAAACCCCGGUAGUCC